rnacentral:rRNA from 1 species
UACGUAGGGUGCAAGCGUUAAUCGGAAUUACUGGGCGUAAAGCGUGCGCAGGCGGUUUGGUAAGACAGAUGUGAAAUCCCCGGGCUUAACCUGGGAAUUGCAUUUGUGACUGCCCGGCUAGAGUGUGUCAGAGGGGGUAGAAUUCCACGUGUAGCAGUGAAAUGCGUAGAGAUGUGGAGGAAUACCGAUGGCGAAGGCAGCCCCCUGGAUAACACUGACGCUCAUGCACCGAAAGCGUGGGGAUCGAAACAGGA